CAAGUAGAUGACAUUCAUCAUGUCAGAUGAAUUUGAAUAAUAAUUAAAUAACUAAUUCUAAUAUAUAAGAGUCUAGAAUGGACCGAAUAAAAAGUAUUAUUUUGGUAUCAUCAUUAUUUCUUCUAAAUGUGGUAACGAUAAAUUGUCGUUUGGAUACAACGGACCCUUGCAACCCAGUAUUAUUUUCAAAACGACCAGAGAGGAAUGUGGAUAUUCCUUAUGAAUGUUUGAAUGGCACAGUUAGCUGGCAUUAUCCAAUGGCAUUUCUAAACAUUCUGUUCACAGCUACAGUACAGGAAUACGAAGUUUGUAUAGGGCACAUAACAGACAAAACUGUUAAAAAAAUAUAUGAAAUCAUUGAUGGAGUAACUGAACAGCUUCCUUUACCAAAGAAAGGGGAAGAAAUUUGCACCUUACCGACGACACAGAAUGUCACAAUGAGAAUUGUUGGACCAAGGAAAUUCACAACUUACACGGCAUAUAUUCCAUAUUUUAUCUACGAAUUUAGCUAGUAAAAAUGGAAGACGGAAGGAAAUCAUAGACAUCUUGACCUCACAAUGUACCAUUUUAUCAAACACAGAUUUUUACUUUAUGUCAUUUUCCGCAAUCAUGAAUUAAAAAUGUAUAGAAUGUAAAA